rnacentral:rRNA from 1 species
AUUGAACGCUGGCGGCAGGCCUAACACAUGCGAGUCGAGCGGAUGAAGGGAGCUUGCUCCUGGAUUCAGCGGCGGACGGGUGAGUAAUGCCUAGUAAUCUGCCUGGUAGUGGGGGAUAACGUCCGGAAACGGGCGCUAAUACCGCAUACGUCCUGAGGGAGAAAGUGGGGGAUCUUCGGACCUCACGCUAUCAGAUGAGCCUAGGUCGGAUUAGCUAGUUGGUGGGGUAAAGGCCUACCAAGGCGACGAUCCGUAACUGGUCUGAGAGGAUGAUCAGUCACACUGGAACUGAGACACGGUCCAGACUCCUACGGGAGGCAGCAGUGGGGAAUAUUGGACAAUGGGCGAAAGCCUGAUCCAGCCAUGCCGCGUGUGUGAAGAAGGUCUUCGGAUUGUAAAGCACUUUAAGUUGGGAGGAAGGGCAGUAAGUUAAUACCUUGCUGUUUUGACGUUACCAACAGAAUAAGCACCGGCUAACUUCGUG